GAUUUCGUAGCUCAAUUGGCAGAGCGCUUGACUGUUAAUCAAGAAGUUGAAGGUUCAACUCCUUCCGAAAUCG
rnacentral:tRNA from 2 species